rnacentral:rRNA from 1 species
UACGAGAGGCCCAAACGUUAUUCGGAAUUACUGGGCUUAAAGAGUUCGUAGGCGGCAUUGCAAGUAGGGUGUGAAAGCCCUCGGCUCAACCGAGGAAUUGCGCUCUAAACUGCAGUGCUUGAGGAACCUAGAGGUGAGCAGAACAGAUGGUGGAGCGGUGAAAUGCGUUGAUAUCAUCUGGAAUACCGGAGGCGAAGGCGGCUCACUGGGAGUUUUCUGACGCUGAGGAGCGAAAGCGUGGGGAGCGAACAGG